GAUGAAGAACGCAGCGAACUGCGAUAAGUAAUGUGAAUUGCAGAAUUCAGUGAAUCAUCGAGUCUUUGAACGCACAUUGCGCCCCCUGGCAUUCCGGGGGGCAUGCCUGUCCGAGCGUCAUUGCUGCCCUUCAAGCCCGGCUUGUGUGUUGGGUCGUCGUCCCCCCCGGGGGACGGGCCCGAAAGGCAGCGGCGGCACCGCGUCCGGUCCUCGAGCGUAUGGGGCUUUGUCACCCGCUCGAUUAGGGCCGGCCGGGCGCCAGCCGGCGUCUCCAACCCUCUAUUUUACCAGGUUGACCUCGGAUCAGGUAGGGAUACCCGCUGAACUUAAGCAUAUCAAUAAGCGGAGGA
rnacentral:misc_RNA from 1 species